rnacentral:rRNA from 1 species
UACGAAGGGGGCUAGCGUUGUUCGGAAUUACUGGGCGUAAAGCGCGCGCAGGCGGCCAUUCAAGUCAGGAGUGAAAGCCCAGAGCUCAACUCUGGAACUGCCUUUGAUACUGGGUAUCUUGAGUAUGGAAGAGGUAAGUGGAAUUGCGAGUGUAGAGGUGAAAUUCGUAGAUAUUCGCAGGAACACCAGUGGCGAAGGCGGCUUACUGGUCCAUAACUGACGCUGAGGUGCGAAAGCGUGGGGAGCAAACAGG